rnacentral:rRNA from 1 species
AGAUUAAGUUAUUAAGGGCGCACGGUGGAUGCCUUGGCACUAGAAGCCGAUGAAGGACGUUACUAACGACGAUAUGCUUUGGGUAGCUGUAAGUAAGUGUUGAUCCAGAGAUUUCCGAAUGGGGGAACCCAGCAUGAGUUAUGUCAUGUUAUCGACAUGUGAAUUCAUAGCAUGUCAGAAGGCAAACCCGGAGAACUGAAACAUCUUAGUACCCGGAGGAAGAGAAAGAAAAAUCGAUUCCCUGAGUAGCGGCGAGCGAAACGGGAAGAGCCCAAACCAACAAGCUUGCUUGUUGGGGUUGUAGGACACUCUAUACGGAGUUACAAAAGAACAUGUUAGACGAAUCAUCUGGAAAGAUGAAUCAAAGAAGGUAAUAAUCCUGUAGUCGAAAACAUAUUCUCUCUUGAGUGGAUCCUGAGUACGACGGAGCACGUGAAAUUCCGUCGGAAUCUGGGAGGACCAUCUCCUAAGGCUAAAUACUCUCUAGUGACCGAUAGUGAACCAGUACCGUGAGGGAAAGGUGAAAAGUACCCCGGAAGGGGAGUGAAAGAGAACUUGAAACCGUGUGCUUACAAGUAGUCAGAGCCCGUUAAUGGGUGAUGGCGUGCCUUUUGUAGAAUGAACCGGCGAGUUACGAUCUGAUGCAAGGUUAAGCAGCAAAUGUGGAGCCGCAGCGAAAGCGAGUCUGAAUAGGGCGUUGAGUAUUUGGUCGUAGACCCGAAACCAGGUGAUCUACCCUUGGUCAGGUUGAAGUUCAGGUAACACUGAAUGGAGGACCGAACCGACUUACGUUGAAAAGUGAGCGGAUGAACUGAGGGUAGCGGAGAAAUUCCAAUCGAACUUGGAGAUAGCUGGUUCUCUCCGAAAUAGCUUUAGGGCUAGCCUCAAGUGAUGAUUAUUGGAGGUAGAGCACUGUUUGGACGAGGGGCCCCUCUCGGGUUACCGAAUUCAGACAAACUCCGAAUGCCAAUUAAUUUAACUUGGGAGUCAGAACAUGGGUGAUAAGGUCCGUGUUCGAAAGGGAAACAGCCCAGACCACCAGCUAAGGUCCCAAAAUAUAUGUUAAGUGGAAAAGGAUGUGGCGUUGCCCAGACAACUAGGAUGUUGGCUUAGAAGCAGCCAUCAUUUAAAGAGUGCGUAAUAGCUCACUAGUCGAGUGACACUGCGCCGAAAAUGUACCGGGGCUAAACAUAUUACCGAAGCUGUGGAUUGUCCUUUGGACAAUGGUAGGAGAGCGUUCUAAGGGCGUCGAAGCAUGAUCGCAAGGACAUGUGGAGCGCUUAGAAGUGAGAAUGCCGGUGUGAGUAGCGAAAGACGGGUGAGAAUCCCGUCCACCGAUUGACUAAGGUUUCCAGAGGAAGGCUCGUCCGCUCUGGGUUAGUCGGGUCCUAAGCUGAGGCCGACAGGCGUAGGCGAUGGAUAACAGGUUGAUAUUCCUGUACCACCUAGUAUCGUUUUAAUCGAUGGGGGGACGCAGUAGGAUAGGCGAAGCGUGCUGUUGGAGUGCACGUCCAAGCAGUAAGGCUGAGUGUUAGGCAAAUCCGGCACUCAUAAGGCUGAGCUGUGAUGGGGAGAGGAAAUUGUUUCCUCGAGUCGUUGAUUUCACACUGCCGAGAAAAGCCUCUAGAUAGAUAACAGGUGCCCGUACCGCAAACCGACACAGGUAGUCAAGAUGAGAAUUCUAAGGUGAGCGAGCGAACUCUCGUUAAGGAACUCGGCAAAAUGACCCCGUAACUUCGGGAGAAGGGGUGCUCUUUAGGGUUCACGCCCAGAAGAGCCGCAGUGAAUAGGCCCAAGCGACUGUUUAUCAAAAACACAGGUCUCUGCUAAACCGUAAGGUGAUGUAUAGGGGCUGACGCCUGCCCGGUGCUGGAAGGUUAAGAGGAGUGGUUAGCUUCUGCGAAGCUACGAAUCGAAGCCCCAGUAAACGGCGGCCGUAACUAUAACGGUCCUAAGGUAGCGAAAUUCCUUGUCGGGUAAGUUCCGACCCGCACGAAAGGCGUAACGAUUUGGGCACUGUCUCAACGAGAGACUCGGUGAAAUCAUAGUACCUGUGAAGAUGCAGGUUACCCGCGACAGGACGGAAAGACCCCGUGGAGCUUUACUGUAGCCUGAUAUUGAAAUUCGGCACAGCUUGUACAGGAUAGGUAGGAGCCUUUGAAACGUGAGCGCUAGCUUACGUGGAGGCGUUGGUGGGAUACUACCCUAGCUGUGUUGGCUUUCUAACCCGCACCACUUAUCGUGGUGGGAGACAGUGUCAGGCGGGCAGUUUGACUGGGGCGGUCGCCUCCUAAAAGGUAACGGAGGCGCUCAAAGGUUCCCUCAGAAUGGUUGGAAAUCAUUCAUAGAGUGUAAAGGCAUAAGGGAGCUUGACUGCGAGACCUACAAGUCGAGCAGGGUCGAAAGACGGACUUAGUGAUCCGGUGGUUCCGCAUGGAAGGGCCAUCGCUCAACGGAUAAAAGCUACCCCGGGGAUAACAGGCUUAUCUCCCCCAAGAGUUCACAUCGACGGGGAGGUUUGGCACCUCGAUGUCGGCUCAUCGCAUCCUGGGGCUGUAGUCGGUCCCAAGGGUUGGGCUGUUCGCCCAUUAAAGCGGUACGCGAGCUGGGUUCAGAACGUCGUGAGACAGUUCGGUCCCUAUCCGUCGUGGGCGUAGGAAAUUUGAGAGGAGCUGUCCUUAGUACGAGAGGACCGGGAUGGACAUACCUCUGGUGUACCAGUUGUCGUGCCAACGGCAUAGCUGGGUAGCUAUGUAUGGACGGGAUAAGUGCUGAAAGCAUCUAAGCAUGAAGCCCCCCUCAAGAUGAGAUUUCCCAACUUCUGUUAUAAGAUCCCUCGAAGAUGACGAGGUUAAUAGGUUCGAGGUGGAAGCGUGGUGACACGUGGAGCUGACGAAUACUAAUCGAUCGAAGACUUAAUCAAUUU